CCCUUAGAUGUUCUGGGCAGCACGCGCGCUACAAUGGUCUUCGCAAACGGAUGCAUUCUCGAAGGAGAAUGCCAAUCUUGGAAUCUAUACCUUGGUCGGGACAGUUGCUUGCAAUUUUUCGACUCGAACCAGGAAUUCCUUGUAAUCGUGAUUCAUCACAUCACGAUGAAUACGUCCCUGCCCUUUGUACACACCGCCCGCCGCUCCUACCGAUCGAAGAGUUAGGUGAAUUGUUUUGAUCGAUAAGAUUUGACUAUGGUCAACUCUCGUUGUGAAAUUCUGUGAAUCUGACUGUUUAGAGGAAGGAAAAGUCGUAACA
rnacentral:rRNA from 1 species